UUACAUUUAAAGUUCUUGGUGAAUCUCCUUUGGUGUACGCUAUGUGGUUAUUGUAUAUGAGUUUGGUACACUGGGUAUUGUAUAUAUGCCUACCUAAUCUAGGGAAGGGAAAGAAAAAUGAGGAAAGGUGACAACAAAUAUGACAACAAAU